rnacentral:lncRNA from 1 species
ACAGAGGAGGAGACUGCAGGCAUGCUUCAGUCAGUGGGAUCCAAGGCCAGAGCCUUAAUAGCUGAGUCAUGGGCCUGGAACGUGUGAAUGAGCUGCCUUUGCCUGAUGUCAAAAAUGCAGACGUGUCCUUUCCUACCCCCCGAGAUUAGGAGUUGCUGUUUGGGUGCAUACUGCAGUACCGUGGCACCAUGAUCGUGGCACGUGAAACCUGAAGAAGAAAAACAUCAGAGAAUUUCUCAAAACAAUUUCUUGUCUUGGUAAUUAUGAUGUCUACAUC